UGGCAGCUGAAAGAUUUGGUCAGAACUCAGAACAGGCCAUUCUUGGCAGGAUAAAUGGUCUAGAGUCAAGUCUGGAACAUCCAAGAGAAAGGUCACGGUUCUGUGGUCACACAACAUCCUGCAUGCGGGUGUUCCCCUGGCAAGCUGCAAACUCUCAGGCGCUCCAUUUUCUCAGCCAUAAAAUGAGAAUACGUGUUUUUUUUCUCCCCCCCUCAGGGUCAUAUUUUCCAGAUAACAUUAUUUUUAAAGGCAAAGCCUCAGUACAUAACCCCAACUGACUUGGAACUGGCUAGAUAGACUAGGCUGGCCUUGAAUUCACACAGAUCCACGAACUUCUUGGAUAUUGGGAUUAAAGGCACACGUCACCAUACCUGGCUUUGUCUUCCGAGACUGGGUCUCUGGAAUCCUAGUGUGGCUUUCAGAACUCACGUAGCUGAAGAUGGCUUUGAACUUACUUCCGAGUCUCACGUCCCUACUUUGCUGAGUGUUGGUGUUACAGAUUGGGCACCAACACACCCAGUUUACGCUGACUGGCUUUGUACAAGCACACUUGGCAAGCACGCUACCCGAGUGAGCUACAUCCAGUCUCUAGUCUCUAGGCAGCAUCUCCCCGUCCAGUGAACAGGAGCUCCUGGGAUGGUUUGUUUUACUCACGUUAUUUCUUUUGCUUGCAACCAGAGAGAACACCGGGCUGUCUGCUCUUUUUCACGGGCCUCAAAGAUUCCCCAAAUACAAACAGCACAGGAGGCAGUUGGUCUGUGGCUACCCCGUACUUAGGGAUAAAGGCUGGUUCUUUUUCUGGAGUCUGGGGAGAUCGGCUUUGGGCAGCACAUACGACCUGAGUGUUCCAGCCCUCGCACUUCAAUGUGGGCUAUGGCAGCCAGCCUCACAGACCCUGGAGAGUGGUCUAGUUCUGACUUUCUCAGGCUGGGUUGCUUGUGGGCUUAGAAUUCUAUCUUUGUGUCUCUGCUGCUGUGUCUAUAAAAUGGAGGAAGUAAUACUGCCAGCUCUGAUAGAAAGGACAAGGAAUCAAGCAUGUACCACCCUCCACUGCCUCUGUCUCUGUCAUGAGCACCCCAGGCUUGCCUUGAGUGGCAGGCCUCCCUCCUCAGUCUCCCGAGUGCUGGAUGUCAGGUGCGGGCCACUAUGCAUGCCUAGUGCCUUUGGCUCUCUCACAGGACAAGUGUCCUCCUCUUCCUUCUUUGAUGCGAAUGUUUGCGAAGAAAAUCCCCAGUCCCCACCCCCUAUUCUUUCCCCAGCCUCUGCCAAAGACUCCAGAGAGCCAAAUGGGAGAUAGAGCAAACAAAGCACACAUCCUCAGCUGGCUAUGUUCUGGUGGCUGUGGCCUCUGACCAAUUUGGAAUCCAUUUCUAGCCUUCCUCGGAAUGGAGCUGUUACUCAGUGACCCUCUGCUCACUGCCCUGGGCUCUUUCUUGUCCCUACCUACCUCUGCAGGGGGAGCCCAGGUACCCCAGGUUGGAAGCAGCCCUUCCUGAACCCCAGCCCUUUCCUGAUGAGCCUCUUUCCCAACAUACAGCCAGAGGACUGAGCUCUAAAGGUGGCCUCUGGUAGCAGGCCCCAUGACUUUUCCCUCACUCCCCUUAGCCACUGUUGACCUUGUCCCACUUCCUGAGACAAAAAAAAAAACAAAAAAACAACAAAAAAAAAAAACCAAACCCAGCUGCUUCCUAAAUCAAGGAAGAGCCUGUUCCCACCAGGCCCUCCCCUUGGGGGUUUGGCUGGGAGCCUUUUGUCCUUACUGGCGCCAGGAAAGAAGAUGAUAGCCACCCCACUUUCCGGACUCCAUGUUUGUGGAAGUAAGAGUGGGAAUGUCUGCCCCCGCCACGAGGCGGGCAGUUUUGGUCUCACCGCGAUGUAUCUUUUUAGAAGACCAAAGAAACAACCAACCCACGCGAUCUGCUUGGCCUGUGCCACCCAGCACAGAGGCCACACUGUCAUCCAGCACUGGACUGUGGUCACUUGAAAUAUUAUAUGUACGCUUCCAAAGGCUCAACAUGAGAAAAAGAAUGUAGGGCACGAUCCUCAAGUUUUGUUGAGGUUUUGAGAUGGGGUCUGGCUGUAUUGCUCAGGCUGCUUGCUCUGAUUCCUGACUCAACUGAUCCUCCUUCCUCAGGCUGGGUAGCUGAGACCACAGGCUUACAACUGCAAUGCCCAGGUUUCAUUAAUGUUCAUCAUCAUCACCAUAUCAUCAUCAUCACCACCACCACCACCAUCACCACCAUCACCACGUCUACAGCGUUCUACCUUACAUGUAUACCUUAUUACAGAUGGUUGUGAGCCACCAUGUGGUUGCUGGGACUUGAACUCAGGACCUUGAGAAGAGCAGUCAGUGCUCUUAACCUCUAAGCCAUCUCUCCAGCCCUCUUUAAUGUCUAAAUAUUGGUUCCAUGUUGAAUUGACAUGACAGGUAUAUUGAAUUAAAUAAACUGUUUUGUUAAAAUUAA